AUGCGGCCAACCACCACCCGCCAGGUACCGCGCUCCGGCACCUUGUGUCACCUAUUGUCACCUUGUGUCACCUUGUGUCACCUUGUGUCACCUAUUAUCACUCCUUGUCAUCUUUUGUCACCUAUUGUCACCCCAUCACCUACGGUCACCUUCCAGCACCUUCUGUCACCUACUGUCACCUCAUCACCUAUUGUCAUUUAUUGUCACCUUUUGUCACCUUCUGUCACCCAUUGUCACCCCAUCGCCUAUUGUAAUUUAUUGUCACCUCAUCACCUACUGUCACUUUCUGUCACCUAUUGUCACCUUCCGGCACCUUCUGUCACCUAUUGUCACCCCAUCACCUACGGUCACCUUCUGUCACCUAUUGUCACCUUCUGUCACCUUCUGUCACCCCUUGUCACCUUCUGUCACCUACUGUCACCUACUGUCACUCUUUGUCACCUUACUAUCACCUUCUGUCAACUGUUGUCACCUAUUGUCACCCCAUCACCUAUUGUCACCUAUUGUUACCUUCUGCCACCCAUUGUCACCCCAUCACCUUCUGUCACCUUUUGUCACCUUCUGUCACCUUCUGUCACUCCUUGUCACCUUCUUUCACCUAUUGUCACCCCAUCACCUAUUGUCACCUAUUGUUACCUUCUGCCACCCAUUGUCACCCCAUCACCUUCUGUCACCUAUUGUCACCCUAUCACCUACUGUCACCUGUCACCUUCUGUCACCCAUUGUCGCCUAUUGUCACCCCAUCACCUACCAUCACCUACUGUCACCUUCUGUCACCUAGUAUCACCUUCUGUCACCUACUGUAACCUUCAGUCACCUAUUGUCACCCCAUCACCUACUGUCACCUACUGUCACUCUUUGUCAACUUCUGUCGACUUCUGUCACCUGUUGUCACCUACUGUUGCUCCUUGUCACUGUCACUCCCCAUCACCUUCUGUCACUUUCUGUCACCCAUUGUCACCUACUGUCGCUGUUUGUCACUUUGUGUCACUUUCUGUCAUCUUCUGUCACCUACAGUUACUUGUUGUCACCUUCUGUCACUGCUUGUCACUUUUGUCACUUACUGUCACUCCUUGUCACCUUCUGUCACCUAUUGUCACCUUCUGUCACCUACUGUCACCUACUGUCACCUCCUCACCCACUGCCACUCCUUGUCACCUUCUGUCAUUCCUCAUCACCCUGUCACCUUCUGUCACCCCAUCACUUUCUGUCAAUCCUCGUCACCCUCUGUCACCUUCUGUCACCCUGUCACCCACUGUCGCUGCUUGUCACCUUCUGUCACCUUCUCUCACCUACUGUCACCCUGUCACCUACUGUCAUUCCUUGUCACCUUCAGUCAUCUUCUGUCACCUUCUCUUGCCCCCUGUCACCUACUGCCACCUACUUCCACUUUCUGUCACAUUCUGUCACCUUUUGUCACUCCUGUUCCCUCCUGUCACUUUCUGUUACAUUCCAUCAGUCUCUGUCACCUCCUGUUCCCUCCUGUCACCCACCCCGUGUCACCCUGACCGUCCCUGUGUCACUUUGUCACUUCAAUGUCCCAGCGCUGUCACCCUGCCACAUUUGUCCCCCCCUCACAUUUCCCGCUUUUUCUCCCCUCAUUUCCCGCUCUUUUUUCCCGCUCACAUUUCCCACUUUUUCCCCUCAUUUUUCCCGCCCUUUCCCUCUCACAUUUUCCGCCCUUUUUUCCCCCUCACAUUUCCCACUCUUUUCCCCCUCACGUUUCCCGCUCUUUUCUCCCCUCACAUUUCCCGCCUUUUUCCCCCUCACGUUUCCCACCCUUUUCCCCUCACAUUUCCCACUUUUUCCCCUCAUUUUUCCCACCCUUUCCCUCUCACAUUUCCUGCUCUUUCCUCCCUCACAUUUCCCUCCCUUUUCUCCCCUCAUUUCCCGCCUUUUUUCCCUCACAUUUCCCACCUUUUUCUCCCCUCACAUUUCCCACCCUUUUCCCCCCUCACGUUUCCUGCCUUUUUUCCCCUCACGUUUCCCGCUCUUUUCUCCCCUCACGUUUCCUGUUCUUUUUCCCCCUCACGUUUCCCGCCCUUUUUCCCCCUUCAUGUUUUCCCACCUUUUUGCCCCUCACUUUUCCUGCCCUUUUUUCCCCUCACAUUUCCCACCUUUUUCUCCCUUCACUUUUCUCACCCUUUCCCCCCUCACGUUUCCUGCCCUUUCCCCCUCACAUUUCCCAUUUUUUCCCCUCAUUUUUCCCACCCUUUCCCUCUCACAUUUCCUGCUCUUUCCCCCCUCACAUUUCCCGCCUUUUUCCCCCUCACUUUUCCUGCUCUUUCCCCCCCUCAC
rnacentral:lncRNA from 1 species